GCUUUUUUUUGGACACUUUAUAUAAAGAAACGAUUUCCCUUACUCUCACGGAUAUUUGAGCAUCAUUCUAUGCAUAACACUUCUGAAAAACCAGAUUUCUAAUAACCUGAAAGAAUACCCAAAGUUUUUCACUUUUAAAAUUUCCUAGGUUUCUUGUCUAGAAGAUGGAUUGAGUUUUGAUGUUGUGAUAUUGCUGCUCGUGUGUUAGGUUUUUUGCACUGUCAAGGCUGGUUUUUGCCUAAGUGGUUGUGUGUUUGAUUAGCUGAGAUAUUUCUACAUUGGCCAUUUGACCUUUAUUUGGUCUUUUCUCGCCAAAAAUCAAACAAUCUCAAAGCUGGAAGUUUGAAGUAUCUACUUGUGAGGAACAGCUCCAUAGCUAAAUCCUUGCAAGUUGGCACCCUGUUUGAAGGACCUGGAGGCAGAAGAAAACCAGAAAUUAAGGGAAAAGAUUUUCCUUUUGAUUAUUUUUUUUUAGUUUUCUCUUGGACAUUAGCAUGAUAAAUUGUUGAAAUGAUAGACUAUUAGUUAUUUUGUACAUUCAUGGACUUUCAGCUGUGUAAAGGGACUGUUAUAAUUUUUUAUUUUUUUUAUAAAUUUAGUUUUUUCGUUGAUUUUA